GGCAGCCACAGCUGCCGUCUUGGAGAAUCCUGCAUCAACACAGUGGGCUCUUUCCGCUGCCAGCGGGACAGCAGCUGCGGGACUGGCUAUGAGCUCACAGAGGACAAUAGCUGCAAAGAUAUUGACGAGUGUGAGAGUGGUAUUCAUAACUGCCUCCCCGAUUUUAUCUGUCAGAAUACUCUGGGAUCCUUCCGCUGCCGACCCAAGCUACAGUGCAAGAGUGGCUUUAUACAAGAUGCUCUAGGCAACUGUAUUGGUAAGAGGUGUGCUGCCAGGAUUAGCGGGCUAUUCCAGGAGGGGUCAGCGACCUAGCCUUGGGGCAGGCCUCUAGAAUCUGCAGGGCCGCAUGG
rnacentral:sRNA from 1 species